GGCUUUGUGGGUUCCUGGAGGAGAGCUUGAGGGCUCUGGCAGGAAUUAGCCAACAGUGUCAUUAUACCAAUGAAAUAUGGCGGUGUGCCUGGUGCUUGGCCCAUGAAAGGGAAGAAGGGCUGGAAAUGGAGUUAAUAAUUGAUCCUGCCUGUGUGAAGUCCAAUACUUUGGCCACCUGAUGCAAAGAACCGACUCAUUAGAAAAGACCGUGAUGCUGGGAAAGAUUGAGGCAGGAGGAGAAGGGGACGACAGAAGAUGAGAUGGUUGGAUGGCAUCACCAACUUGAUGGACAUGAGUUUGAGCAAGCUCUGGGAGUUGGUGAUGGACGAGGGAGGCCUGGUGUGCUGCGGUCCAUAGGGUCACAAAGAGUUGGACAUGCCUGAGUGACUGAACUGGACUGAAUUGAUGUGAAGAAGUCUGCAUAAGAUCCCAAGAGAAGGGUGUUUGGGAAGCUUCCAAACUGCAGAAAACAUCCAUGAAUGGGGCUGGGGAAGGUGACGCAAUCUAACUUCAUGGGGACAGAAGUUUCUGCUCUUGGGACCUACCCACACCUCACCCCAAGUGUUUCUUCAUCUGGCUGUCUACUUUUUUGAAAAAAAAAAAAAA
ensembl:lncRNA